CACUAGUCGAGAGCUGGCGUCACUUUCCUGAUGAGUCCAAGGCAGAACGAAACUAGUG
rnacentral:hammerhead_ribozyme from 1 species